GGCUGCUUCCAGCAGAUCGGCUUCUUUGUACGACCCAAGCUCUGUGCCUUCUCUGGCCUCUAUUACUGUGACAUCUGCCACCAAGAUGAUGCCUCAGUGAUUCUGGCCAGGAUCAUCCACAGCUGGGACCUCACCAAGCACCUGGUAAGUCUCGAGCCCAGCUCGUCACAGCCACUCAGGGCUGGUGAGGGACAGAGGGGUGUUCAAUCCUCUUUGCUGCUGCUGUUCAUCUGUUUAGAGGAGUUUGGCUCCUCUAAACAAGGGAAGCUGGGGUCACUGGUUCAGGCACUGUGACGUGGGGGAGCUAACCAAGAGAAAAGCUUGGUGCCUGUCCACAGCCCUGGGCAGAGCUCCGUCGGUGGCUGUCUUGGUCCCCAGGAGGGAGUCUGAGGAUGGUUUCCUGCAG
rnacentral:lncRNA from 1 species